CUGCCUGAGUGACAGUCUGUGUUAUGAGGCCUGUUGUCCUUCCUUCCUUCCUCACACCCUUUCCCUGAACAGGAAAAAAAAAACCCUCCUGAGGCAGCUGUUUCCUGCCUGAGUGAGCUGACCCUACCAAGCGUGAAAACUGUGUUUCUGCUAACCACACAUCCAUUAUUACCAAGACAGGUGAUUUGAGACCAUGGGUACAUGUUGACAUCUUAUAGACAUAAAAUUGGAGCUCAUGGAAACUAUUAUCCUGUGUAACAAUGGAAAGGUUUAGAUGCCACUUCUGCCUAAACAAAGGGAAGGACAUGGCCCUAGAGAUGUUGCAAGUCAUCAGAACCAUGGAUAAUCAGCAAUUGCAGCUAGGCACUUGGAAGGAAGCCAGGUGGUUCACGCUUCUGGAAGCUAGGUGGUUCACACUUCUGGAAGCCAGGUGGUUCACAGCCUGUGAUGGGGACAGGUCAUGUCACCUCUCCAACUGUGGUUUCCUUAGGUGUGGAGUAGGAAGCUAAUAUCCACAUCAUGAAAUUGUGACUUAGAUGCCAAUAUAAGGCAUCUCAUGAAUUCCAUGCCUGUAAUCCCAGCACCUGAAAAGUGGAGGUAAGAAGAUAAGGAGCUCAAGGCUCUCUAAUUGGACUUAACACCCAUUCAACAAGAGGGAAGCCAUGCCUGGCACUAGAAACCUAGCUAAUUCCUCAGCUCUAGAGAAGUCACAGUUCUCGGAAGAGACUCCACAACUACUGAGUUACCAAGCCAGCAUAAUCCCUAACAACCAUUUAAACAUUUGUCCUUACACCCAAAGAUAAGUAGACACUUCACCUCUCAUCAAGGAAACUUCUCUGCAACAAAUGGAUACCACUGCAGAAAACCACAACCAACCAAACUUCGGAGUUGUUGAGCCCAGUACCAAUGGGAUAUCUAUAAAACAUUCCUGCACCGAAGACUCAGGAAACAUUGUGGAAGAGAUGGAGACAAUGAAAGAGACAGAGGGUCCAGGAGCUUGCUAUGAGAUUAUGCCUCCUAGUAAUAUCAGAAGCUAUUCUCACCAACAUGACUGCCUAAUUAUGAACCGAACAAGGAAGACACAAUAGACAUGCUUAUGUCAAGUUGACAAAAACUAACCAACACACUCUUCUAGCCCUGUGAUCUUUAAAAUGAAAAAUAAAUAAAUAAUUUUAAAAAGUA